AUUGAACGCUAGCGGGGUGCUUUACACAUGCAAGUCGAACGGAGUCGCGGACGGGUGAGUAAUAUAUCGGAACUUGCCCAGUAGCGGGGGAUAACUACUCGAACGAGUGCCUAAUACCGCAUACCUUUGGCUCGGCCGUUAUGGGAUGAGCUAUUUGGUGGUGUAAAGGCUCACCACGGCAACGAUCCAUAGCUGGUUUGAGAGGGCGACCAGCCACACUGGGACUGAGACACGGCCCAGACUCCUACGGGAGGCAGCAGUGGGGAAUUUUGGACAAUGGGGGAAACCCUGAUCCAGCCAUCCCGCGUGUAUGAUGAAGGCCUUCGGGUUGUAAAGUACUUUUGGCAGAGAAGCGGUAUCUGCAGAAUAAGCACCGGCUAACUACGUGCCAGCAGCCGCGGUAAUAC
rnacentral:rRNA from 1 species